AGAUUUAGGAAAAAACAAAAUGGUUCGGCUAAAAACUAAUAUGUUUGUAGUGUAAAUGACACUGAACGUUGUCAACACGGGACACAAACUAACAGCUAAUUGUAACGUGAAAUUGAAACUUAACACACGGGACACGAAUAGCGGUCUCCUGGAUGAAAGCCCUGUUAUCUUCCUUCGUU